rnacentral:lncRNA from 1 species
AGAACGGGAAAACACUAAAAAAAUUACCAUGACCCAAUGAGAGAGCAAGUAUAACAGGUAUUGAACACAGCCACAUAUCCCAUGGAGCUGAAUCAUUCUGAAAUGGGUUACUAGUUACUACAAAGAGGUUGUCAAUCAUUAAACAAUAAAUAUUAAGUAAUCAAGUUCAGCAAAACAUUCCAUCUAUAUACAGAAAUCCUCAAUGGCAAUUCAAAGAAACUUUCUCCCGACUACAGUAAGAUAAAUAGAAAGCCAGCCACCAGUGACAGAAUUUCUUAUGGUACCAUCCACCCGUCUAAUAAGCAGAGAACAAUUUCUUUUUAUCUUCAGUCAUUGAAAACCAUUGAAGCUACACCGUGUACUGAUUUUUGGCAGCUUUGUCAAGCUUCUUAGCAUCCUCCUGCAUUACAACGGUUGGUAAGCUGGUGUUUAGAUUAGCUCAAUAAAAAGCUUACUUAAAUAGGCAGUGAUGUACACAUUUUAAUGCUUACAUGCAAUCAGAGCUUCCUGACAAAAAAAUAGUUCAUAUUGGAUAAAAUAUGGUGAUAAACAGUUAUAUCUUAUGAAGUCUGGUGAAGACGUGUUUAUAAGGUAUAAAUAAUGCCCAAUUAAUCAUUCCACUUCCUUGAGACUGUAGAAAAUACUAAGAAAUCAAACAGAUUAAUAUUAUUAUUAGAUAAAUGCAUAAUUAAGUUCCGUACCAUGUAUAAGUAUCAUUUCUAAUAUUGGAGAAUAAUUCAUAUCUGGAUUUCUUUAGGCAUAUGAUAUAUAAAUUCCAUACUCAAUUAUAGCACAGCCACUUUUAAAAGAACGUCAUGAAUGCUAACGUUCGAUCGAUUUCAUUAUAUAUAUAUAUAUAUAUAUAUAUAU